GAGAAGAACGUAGCGAAAUGCGAUACGUAGUGUGAAUUGCAGAAUUCAGUGAAUCAUCGAAUCUUUGAACGCACAUUGCACCUCUCGGUAUUCCGGGAGGUAUGCCUGUUCGAGCGUCAUUUGUACCCUCAAGCUCUGCUUGGUGUUGGGUGUUUGUUCCGCCUCUGUGUGUGAACUCGCCUCAAAACAAUUGGCAGCCGGCGUACUUGUUUCGGAGCGCAGCACAUUUUGCGAUCCAGAUCAACGUACAGCGGCAUCCAAGAAGCCUUAUUUAACGCUCUUGACCUCGGAUCAGGUAGGGAUACCCGCUGAACUUAAGCAUAUCAAUAAGCGGAGGA
rnacentral:misc_RNA from 1 species